GCUCCUUCCUUCCCCCACGGCGCUAGCUCCCGCUGGCCACCUCGGGACCGCAGCCACGUCUGAAAGCGCCUCAUUGUGUGCGCUCGGGCGGGCUGCACCGGGCAGCGCCGAGGGUUGCCGGCCGGCGCGCGGGGAGUAGAGGGCGCGGGCCGCAGUGCCGGGUUCCAGAGGGAGCUCUGCGCCGGGUCCUUCCCUGUGGUAGCCCCAGGACACCCCCAGCCUCAACAUCCCAUUCUGGGACUCCUGCCCUGUUCCCACAUUCGUUCUACCUCGAGUCUCCAGGAGCUUCCAGUGGCUUGGUCACCGCCAACUCUCGUCCAUGCCUCUUAGAGCCCCUUUCCCGGCCUCACCGGGUGUCGCUUAAUAGUCUUGGGACCUUAAGGAGCAAGUCAGCCCCUGCGGACCCUCCCAGUGAAGAGAAAGAGCUGGCUGUGCGGUGGAAUUUGGAAGAGACGACGUUUGGGAGCCUUUGCUGAGUCCAGGGAGAGAGGCGUCCCCCACCGUGCCGCUGCAGCUCGGGCAGAGCCGCCAAGCUUUGGGGUGCUGAGGAACCUCUAAUCAUCUCCCAUGGAUUUGUGAUCAGCGUUGCAGCUCUCCCAGCAGCCCUGGACAGUGAGAACCUGCGUGCUGCUCCUUUGCUUCGGACCUCCGCCUCUGCCCGGGAGAAAGCCCAGGCCAGCCUGCUGGACAAGCAGAGACCAUGAGAAGGAGAGUUCAGGGGUCCCAAACCAGGCCAUCCUAGACCAGCCAGCUCCAGCUGAUCCGCACGCAGCCACUUCGGCUACCUUCUACUGGCCAAAGGGAGUCCCAGGGCUCACCCAGAUUCAGAGGUGGGGAAACUGAGUCCACCACUUGAGAAGAGUAGCUAUAAAGACAUAUGAGCGAGGCCAGCUGAGCCCAGCACUGCGGCCAAGUCGAAGACUUUAGGAGCAAUAAAAGUGCUUAUUGUGUUUCAGUCAUUUGAGUGUUGUGGUGGUUUGUUAC
rnacentral:lncRNA from 1 species